GCGCGAAGAUAAGAAGCGUUUUCGUUGAAAAAAUAUUUUUGUUUAAAAAAAGGAAUUUAAUAUUGUUUAUUUCUUUAAAAUAUUUGUAAAUCAAUUGUUUUUGCGAAAAUUAUUAUAAAAUGUCGGAACAAAAUGAAAGUAUUUCUCCGCAAGCAGAAAAAAGUACUCCGAAAAAACGUUCUAGACUGUCUUUAGCAGAAAAAGUUAAGCGGGAGUCUGAAGAGGUAUUGAAAAAAAUGGGAUCCUCUAUAGAUAUUGAAGGCGGUCGUAAAACAAGAUCAAGCUCUAGAAAUAGUACAGCCAAAUCUACACCAGCAACGCCACCACCAACGAAAAGAGCUAAAGCGUCAACACCAUCAACAUCAUCAGCGAAGCGAGGAAGAUCUAAACGAUUGGAUGACGAGGAAGAAAGUAACGAUGGUUCCAAAUCUGAAAAAAGUGAGGAAACUGAUACAAAGAAAAGUCCAGUAAAUAAGAAAUCUAACGAAACAAAAGAAGUUAAAAAAUCUACGAGAUCAAGUAAAUCUAGAAGUAGCGAGUCUGAAAAGCCAGAAAAAAAUCUUGAAAAAGCAGAAAUAGCCGGAAAGCAGAACGCUGGAAAAGACAGCAAAAAAAAAGGGACGAAAGAAACAACCCCGGUAAAGGAAAAUAAAUCUGAAUCAGUUGAUGAUGCUACUACUUCAAUAACAAGUGAGGAUAGUAAUGUAACUAAAAAUGAAGAAAGUAAAGCAGAUCAAAAAGAUGAAAUUAUAGAGAAUAAACCAAGUGCAUCCAAAGAAUUGGGAAAGAAUCCUGACGGUAAAACGGAAACAAAAAUUGAGGAGGAAAAGAGCGCAGUGCACAAAAACUCGGAGUCGCAACCAGUGGCAGAAGUUGAAGAUGUAAAAGAGACUACUGAGCAGGUGAAAGAUAAAAUUGAAAAUGUUCAGGAGACACACGAGAAAAUUAAUCAAGGUUUAAAAGAACCGCAAGUAGAUGAAAUAGAUAAAGGUGAAAAACUUGAAUCAAUCAAGGAAGAUUCUCAAGAAAUUGUUUCUGAUGAAAGUUGCGAAAAUAAACCAAUGCAAGAAGAAAUUAAAGAUAUAUUGGACAAAGAAAAAUCUACAGAAGAAAAAUCUGAUAAAAAUCAAGAAACUGAAGAAAAUUUAUCUAAAUCUCCAUCAGAAUCAAUAAAGGAUGUAAUUGGUGAAAAGCAAACGUCGCCAGACAAAAAAAUCGUAACAGAAGAAGCACAGAAAAUGAAUGAAAAUCGAAUUGAAGAAGACAAAAAAUCAUCCACCGAAGAUAAAACUGUAGAAAAAUCAAUAGAAACUCAAAAAGAAACUGAUACAAAUAAAAAAGUAGAUUCUGUAGAAGCAAUGGAUGUUGACGAAAGUCCAGAAUUAUCAAAUAAUGAAAUAAAUAAUAUUGAAGAAGUUUCUAUGCCAUCAACAGGGGUAAACGAUGAUGUAAUAACGAAUGAUGUAGAAAUGAUUGAAACUAAUAAUGGAUUAGGCAAUAAUGGCACACCUGAAGAAAAUAAAAAUGAAAUUAAAAAAGAUAAAAUAAGUGAUCAAAUUUCAGAAGUUGUAGAAAAAAACAAUAUCCCACAUGAGAAUAAUUCCGUAGAAAUUACCAAUUCAGUGGAAGAAAAUAAAAUUGAAACAAAAACAGAUAAUACUUGCGAUACCAAGUUAUCAGCGUCAGAUGAAGUAAUAUCAGCUCCACAGCCUUGUAUUUAAGAUAAACACUAUUAAUACAUCAAUUAAGUUUUAUCACAAAAGUAAUUAACGAAUUACAUGUAGUUUGUAUAAAAGUUAAAUUUAUACAUUAUUUUCAAUAAAUUUUAUCGCCAACAUACAAAUUUAUAGCGAACCAAACUGAUUGGCUCCUGGUGAAGUAAUUUCGACACCACAAUUUUGUAAUUAAAUUAUGUAUUAUUAUGUAUAUCAUAAGUUUUUGAUAAUAAUUGACUAACUAAAAAAAUACAUGUAUAAAUAGUUUUGUUUUUAUAAAACUACAUAUAAAAUUUCUUUUCAGCAAUAUAAGAAAGCUCGUUUUUAGGCAUAUGGCAAAAAAUAAAAUUAAAAAAAAAACAAUUCAAAAUUAAUAAACGCAUAAUAAAUAAAUAAAAAAAUAACAUAACAAAAUAAUUUAACUAAAAACAUAAUCUAAUAAACUAAUAUAUUCGUAAGAGUAAACUUUUAUAUUAGUAAAUUAAUUUUUGAUUCUGUUUAAUUAUGCAUGCUUGAAAUUAAAAUCUGUAAAAAAAGGAAUUUGAUAUUUCAAUAUUUGGUAAAUGUGGAAUGUUGAAAGAUAUAUUUUAUUAAAUAUUUGGUUAAAUAAGUAAAAAAUAUAUGACUCAUUGAUAGGUGUAUUAAUUACAAAAACAUAAACUCAUAUUUUUUUAUGAGAGAUAACAUAAUUAAAUACAAUUGUAUUUAACAAUUUAAAUAAUAAUGUCU